rnacentral:sRNA from 1 species
GCUACAUUCUUCACCAAAAUACCCCCAAACCAGCCUCUACACCACAAACUGAAAUUCUCCUCUGAAAUUUCUUGGAAAAUGAAAAGCUGUGGAUUCCUUCCAAAUUGAUAAAAAUCAGAUAUGACAGGGAAAGGACCCCUGAAGAUCUAGGCUGUACCACUAAAGCAAGAAAGACAUCAGGAAGACCAAACAAAACAGGUAACAUGAUUUGCUUAUCUGUUUCGUGGGAACAGCUCUGAAACUGUCUGAGAUAUAAAAAGUCUCCAGCCAUAAUUCAGCUAUGCAUAGAAAAUCAAUCUUCUUGGCGACAGAAAAAAAAAAA